rnacentral:rRNA from 1 species
GCUCAAAUUUGAAAGCUGGUACCUUCGGUAUCCGCGUUGUAACCUCGAGACACGUUUUCCGUGCGGCGCUAUGGACAAGUUCCUUGGAACAGGACAUCGUAGAGGGUGAAAAUCCCGUACUUGCCAUGGAUGUACCGUGCUUUGCGAUACGUGCUCUAAGAGUCGAGUUGUUUGGGAUUGCAGCUCAAAAUGGGUGGUAGACUCCAUCUAAAGCUAAAUAUCGGGGAGAGACCGAUAGCGAACAAGUACCGUGAGGGAAAGAUGAAAAGCACUUUGGAAAGAGAGUUAAAAGUACGUGAAAUUGUCGAAAGGGAAGCGCUUGAAGUCAGCCAUGCCGCUCAGGACUCAGCCUGGCUUUUGCUUGGUGUAUUUCCUGGGUAGCAAGUCAGCAUUGGUUUGGAUCGUCGGAGAAGCAUAGUCGGAAUGUGGCGCCCUCGGGCGUGUUAUAGCCUUCUAUUGGAUACGACGAUCUAGACCAAGGAACGCAGCGCGCCUUAUGGCGGGUCUUCGGACACCUUCGCGCUUAGGAUGCUGGCGUAAUGGCUUUAAGUGGCCCGUCUUG